rnacentral:rRNA from 1 species
GACAGAGGUGCCGAGCGUUAGGCGGAAUCACUGGGCUUAAAGCGUGUGUAGGUGGAUGCCUAAGUACCUUGUGAAAUCCCACGGCUUAACCGUGGAACUGCUUGGUAUACUGGGUGUCUUGAGCCAGCUAGGGGCUACCGGAACAAAUGGUGGAGCGGUGAGAUGCGUAGAUAUCAUUUGGAACGCCAAUGGUGAAAACAGGUAGCUGGGGCUGUGCUGACACUGAGACACGAAAGCCAGGGGAGCGAACGGG